rnacentral:rRNA from 1 species
AGAGUUUGAUCUGGCUCAGGACCAACGCUGGCGGCGUGCGUAACACAUGCAAGUCGGACGCAGAUCGGGCAACCGGUGCUGCGUGGCGGACGGGUGAGGAACACGUGAGGAACCUGGCCUUGAGUGGGGGAUAACUCUCAGAAAUGGGGGCUAAUCCCGCAUACGGCUGGUCGCGGAGGGGCGAUCAGAGAAAGCGGAGACGCGCUCAAGGAGGGGCUUGCGGCCGAUUAGCUAGUUGGUGUGGUAAGAGCGCACCAAGGCGACGAUCGGUAGCUGGUCUGAGAGGACGAGCAGCCACACUGGGAUUGAGAACGGCCCAGACUCCUACGGGGGGCAGCAGUGAGGAAUCUUCGGCAAUGGGGGCAACCCUGACCGAGCGACGCCGCGUGCGGGAAGACGGCCUUCGGGUUGUAAACCGCUUUUCUGGGGGACGAGAGAACGGACGGUACCCCAGGAAGAAGCCUCCGGCUAACUACGUGCCAGCAGCCGCGGUA